GACAGAGGAGGCGAGCGUUAUCCGGAGUCAUUGGGCGUAAAGGGUACGUAGGCGGCUAGUCAAGUCUGAGGUUAAAGACCACAGCUUAACUGUGGGAAGGCCUUGGAAACUGACUGGCUAGAGUGGGGCAGGGGCUGCGGGAAUUCCCGGUGUAGCGGUGAAAUGCGUAGAUAUCGGGAAGAACACCUGAGGCGAAAGCGCGCAACUGGGCCCUGACUGACGCUGAGGUACGAAAGCUCGGGGAGCGAAUGGG
rnacentral:rRNA from 1 species